AUGAAAAAGAACUUAAGAAGAAUUAAAAGAAAACAAAAUAUGAAACGGUGGAUCUUGUGCAGAGUUUCAAUUUAUGAUCCUUCACCUUCCAUGAUAUCUCUUGUCUUUCCUUCUCACUCUGCAUACAGCGGUGCAUCUUUCAUCUCGAUCAUAGCACCGUUGCGGUUCUCAAAUUCCAGCCACUUCAAACCACCACAACCCGUCCUCUUCUUUUAUCCGUCCUGA